GAGCGAAUUCCGAGCAUCACGAGGGAAGCUCGUCAACCCAUCAAGUUCGGGCGUUGCGAGCGAUGAAUGCGUAGCAUUGUUGUGUUG
rnacentral:lncRNA from 1 species